rnacentral:rRNA from 1 species
AUUGAACGCUGGCGGAAUGCUUUACACAUGCAAGUCGAACGGCAGCACGGACUUCGGUCUGGUGGCGAGUGGCGAACGGGUGAGUAAUACAUCGGAACGUGCCCAGUCGUGGGGGAUAACGUAGCGAAAGCUACGCUAAUACCGCAUACGAUCUACGGAUGAAAGCGGGGGAUCGCGAGACCUCGCGCGAUUGGAGCGGCCGAUGGCAGAUUAGGUAGUUGGUGGGGUAAAGGCUCACCAAGCCGACGAUCUGUAGCUGGUCUGAGAGGACGACCAGCCACACUGGGACUGAGACACGGCCCAGACUCCUACGGGAGGCAGCAGUGGGGAAUUUUGGACAAUGGGCGCAAGCCUGAUCCAGCCAUUCCGCGCGCAGGAUGAAGGCCCUCGGGUUGUAAACUGCUUUUGUACGGAACGAAAAGGCUCUGGUUAAUACCCGGGGCUCAUGACGGUACCGUAAGAAUAAGCACCGGCUAACUACGUGCCAGCAGCCGCCGUAA